GACGAACGCUGGCGGCGUGCCUAAUACAUGCAAGUAGAACGCUGAAGGAGGAGCUUGCUCUUCUGGAUGAGUUGCGAACGGGUGAGUAACGCGUAGGUAACCUGCCUGGUAGCGGGGGAUAACUAUUGGAAACGAUAGCUAAUACCGCAUAACAGUAGAUGUUGCAUGACAUUUGCUUAAAAGGUGCAAUUGCACCACUACCAGAUGGACCUGCGUUGUAUUAGCUAGUUGGUGGGGUAACGGCUCACCAAGGCGACGAUACAUAGCCGACCUGAGAGGGGGAUCGGCCGCCCUGGGACUGAGACACGGCCCAGACUCCUACGGGAGGCAGCAGUAGGGAAUCUUCGGCAAUAGACGGAAGUCUGACCGAGCAACGCCGCGUGAGUGAAGAAGGUUUUCGGAUCGUAAAGCUCUGUUGUAAGAGAAGAACGAGUGUGAGAGUGGAAAGUUCACACUGUGACGGUAUCUUACCAGAAAGGGACGGCUAACUACGUG
rnacentral:rRNA from 1 species